rnacentral:rRNA from 1 species
UACGAAGGGUGCAAGCGUUACUCGGAAUUACUGGGCGUAAAGCGUGCGUAGGUGGUUCGUUAAGUCUGAUGUGAAAGCCCUGGGCUCAACCUGGGAAUGGCAUUGGAAACUGGCGACCUAGAGUGCGGUAGAGGGUAGUGGAAUUCCCGGUGUAGCAGUGAUAUGCGUAGAGAUCGGGAGGAACAUCCGUGGCGAAGGCGACUACCUGGACCAGCACUGACACUGAGGCACGAAAGCGUGGGGAGCAAACAGG